GCAGCACUAGCUCAACUGGAUAGAGCCACAGCUUGCGGAGCUGAAGGUUAUGAGUUCAACUCUCAUGUGCUGCACCA
rnacentral:tRNA from 1 species